GAUUAAAAAAUCAUUAGAUGGUGAACUGUAAAUUCACAUUAGAUAGUACUUUUAACUU
rnacentral:tRNA from 1 species